rnacentral:rRNA from 1 species
GUAGGGUGCAAGCGUUGUCCGGAAUUAUUGGGCGUAAAGAGCUCGUAGGCGGUUUGUUGCGUCGGCUGUGAAAUCCCGAGGCUCAACCUCGGGUCUGCAGUCGAUACGAGCAAACUAGAGUGUUGCAGGGGAGACUGGAAUUCCUGGUGUAGCGGUGAAAUGCGCAGAUAUCAGGAGGAACACCGGUGGCGAAGGCGGGUCUCUGGGCAACAACUGACGCUGAGGAGCGAAAGCGUGGGGAGCGAACAGGAUUAGAUACCCUGGUAGUCCACGCCGUAAACGUUGGGCGCUAGGUGUGGGGCUCAUUCCACGAGUUCCGUGCCGCAGCUAACGCAUUAAGCGCCCCGCCUGGGGAGUACGGCCGCAAGGCUA